UACGGAGGAUCCAAGCGUUAUCCGGAAUCAUUGGGUUUAAAGGGUCCGUAGGCGGUUUGAUAAGUCAGUGGUGAAAGCCCAUCGCUCAACGAUGGAACGGCCAUUGAUACUGUUAGACUUGAAUUACUGGGAAGUAACUAGAAUAUGUAGUGUAGCGGUGAAAUGCUUAGAGAUUACAUGGAAUACCAAUUGCGAAGGCAGGUUACUACUAAUUGAUUGACGCUGAUGGACGAAAGCGUGGGUAGCGAACAGG
rnacentral:rRNA from 1 species